rnacentral:rRNA from 1 species
UACGGAGGUGGCAAGCGUUGUUCGGAAUUACUGGGCGUAAAGGGCGCGUAGGCGGCUAGGCAAGUCAGGUGUGAAAGCCCCGGGCUUAACCCGGGAAUUGCAUCUGAAACUGCUGUGCUUGAGUUCUGGAGGGGGUAGUGGAAUUCCCAGUGUAGCGGUGAAAUGCGUAGAUAUUGGGAGGAACACCUGCGGCGAAGGCGGCUACCUGGACAGAAACUGACGCUGAGGCGCGAAAGCUAGGGGAGCGAACGGGG